UACGGAGGGGGCUAGCGUUGUUCGGAAUUACUGGGCGUAAAGCGCACGUAGGCGGCUUUGUAAGUUAGAGGUGAAAGCCCAGGGCUUAACCCUGGAAUUGCCUUUAAGACUGCAUCGCUAGAAUCGUGGAGAGGUGAGUGGAAUUCCGAGUGUAGAGGUGAAAUUCGUAGAUAUUCGGAAGAACACCAGUGGCGAAGGCGACUCACUGGACACGUAUUGACGCUGAGGUGCG
rnacentral:rRNA from 1 species